UUGCCUUGUCCGAGCGUUAGCUAACAGCCACCCGCUUAAUUUGCCAUUCCUUGAAGAAUUCUAUGUCCCAUGCUGCUCAGCUAAAAGCAAAUGGUACAUUAUCCCCACUGGCCAUGUUGCAACCUGAAGGGAAAAGUGGAUUUACCAGCUUGCGGCUGCAUGAACUACGGUGUUUGACAGGGUCAAAAUAGCCGCCUUCUGGUUUGGAUGAUAAUUGCUGGCGGUAUAAUAGAUUCUUUGAUAUCCGGGGAAUCUGCACCAAAUACGGAGAAAAAUGAUUGGAGACAAGGAGUUCCUCAGGCCCUUGUCAGGCUUAACAAAUUUUAGCACUA
rnacentral:sRNA from 2 species